rnacentral:rRNA from 1 species
GACGAACGCUGGCGGCGUGCUUAACACAUGCAAGUCGAACGAAGAGCGACGGAAGCUUGCUUCUAUCAAUCUUAGUGGCGCACGGGUGAGUAACGCGUAAUCAACCUUCCCUUCAGAGGGGGACAACAGUUGGAAACGACUGCUAAUACCGCAUACGAUCUAGUCUCUGCAUCGAGGAUGGAUGAAAGGUGGCCUCUACAUGUAAGCUAUCACUGAAGGAGGGGAUUGCGUCUGAUUAGCUAGUUGGAGGGGUAACGGCCCACCAAGGCGAUGAUCAGUAGCCGGUCUGAGAGGAUGAACGGCCAAAUUGGGACUGAGACACGGCCCAGACUCCUACGGGAGGCAGCAGGGGGGAAUCUUCCGCAAUGGACGAAAGUCUGACGGAGCAACGCCGCGUGAGUGAUGACGGCCUUCGGGUUGUAAAGCUCUGUUAAUCGGGACGAAAGGCCUUCUUGCGAAUAGUGAGAAGGAUUGACGGUACCGGAAGAGAAAGCCACGGCUAACUACGUG